CCUACGUGAGGCAGCAGUGGGGAAUAUUGGGCAAUGGGCGCAAGCCUGACCCAGCAACGCCGCGUGAAGGAAGAAGGCUUUCGGGUUGUAAACUUCUUUUCUCAGGGACGAAGAAAGUGACGGUACCUGAGGAAUAAGCCACGGCUAACUACGUGCAAGCAGCCGCGGUAAUCCGUAGGUGGCAAGCGUUAUCCGGAUUUAGUGGGUGUAAAGGGCGUGUAGCCGGGAGCGCAAGUCAGAUGUGAAAACUCAGGGCUCAACCCUGAGCCUGCAUUUGAAACUGUGUUUCUUGAGUGCUGUAGAGGCAGUCGGAAUUCCGUGUGUAGCGGUGAAAUGCGUAGAUAUACGGAGGAACACCAGUGGCGAAGGCGGAUUGCUGGACAGUAACUGACGCUGAGGCGCGAAAGCGUGGGGAGCAAACAGGAUUAGAUACCCUAGUAGUC
rnacentral:rRNA from 1 species